CCAGGUGGCCAGACGACCGCGGGCCGGGGAGCGAUCCCCGGUCGGAGGAAAGUCCGGGCUCCAUGGAAGGACGGUGCCGGCCAACGGCCGGCGAGGGUCAAACCUCAGGGAAAGUGCCACAGAAAACAAACCGCCCGGACGGGCGACCCCUUACGGGGUGACCCCUCCAGGCAUGGGUGAAACGGUGGGGCAAAAGCCCACCGCGCCCCCGGCAACGGGGGCGGCACGGCAAACCCCACCGGGAGCAAGGCCGAAUAGGGGCGGCCGGGCCGAGGCGGAGCGAUCCACCGGACGCCAGGGGCCUUUCAACCCGCCGCCCGGGUUGGCCGCGUGAAGCCUGCGGUGACGCAGGCUCCAGAGGAAUGGUCGUCCGCGCCCGCAAGGGCGUGACAGAACCCGGCUUAUCGGCCGCCUGGCACC
rnacentral:RNase_P_RNA from 1 species